UACGUAGGUGGCAAGCGUUAUCCGGAAUUAUUGGGCGUAAAGCGCGCGCAGGUGGUUUCUUAAGUCUGAUGUGAAAGCCCACGGCUCAACCGUGGAGGGUCAUUGGAAACUGGGAGACUUGAGUGCAGAAGAGGAAAGUGGAAUUCCAUGUGUAGCGGUGAAAUGCGUAGAGAUAUGGAGGAACACCAGUGGCGAAGGCGACUCUCUGGUCUGUAACUGACGCUGAGGCGCGAAAGCGUGGGGAGCAAACAGG
rnacentral:rRNA from 1 species